UUGAAUGCCUGCUUUGCGUGCUUCUCGUUGAUAAGAAGUCUUAUAACAAGUGUUUUGAAUUCUGUAUCCCCCAUGUUCUCAAUAUCUUCCUCAGUGAACUCUCAGAUU